rnacentral:rRNA from 1 species
UACGUAGGCAGCGAGCGUUGUUCGGAGUUACUGGGCGUAAAGAGUGCGUAGGCGGUUUUCUAAGUUUGGUGUGAAAUCUCCCGGCUCAACUGGGAGGGUGCGCCGAAGACUGGAAGGCUUGAGUAUGGGAGAGGUAAGCGGAAUUCCUGGUGUAGCGGUGAAAUGCGUAGAUAUCAGGAGGAACACCUGCGGUGUAGACGGCUUACUGGACCAUAACUGACGCUGAGACGCGAAAGCGUGGGGAGCGAACAGG